UACGUAGGGUGCAAGCGUUAAUCGGAAUUACUGGGCGUAAAGCGUGCGCAGGCGGUUUUGUAAGUCUGUUGUGAAAUCCCCGGGCUCAACCUGGGAAUGGCAAUGGAGACUGCAAGGCUAGAGUUUGGCAGAGGGGGGUAGAAUUCCACGUGUAGCAGUGAAAUGCGUAGAGAUGUGGAGGAACACCGAUGGCGAAGGCAGCCCCCUGGGUUAACACUGACGCUCAGGCACGAAAGCGUGGGGAGCAAACAGG
rnacentral:rRNA from 1 species